rnacentral:rRNA from 1 species
AGCGAACGCUGGCGGCAGGCCUAACACAUGCAAGUCGAACGAACCUUUCGGGGUUAGUGGCGGACGGGUGAGUAACACGUGGGAACGUGCCUUUAGGUUCGGAAUAACUCAGGGAAACUUGUGCUAAUACCGAAUGUGCCCUUCGGGGGAAAGAUUUAUCGCCUUUAGAGCGGCCCGCGUCUGAUUAGCUAGUUGGUUGAGGUAAUGGCCCACCAAGGCGACGAUCAGUAGCUGGUCUGAGAGGAUGAUCAGCCACAUUGGGACUGAGACACGGCCCAAACUCCUACGGGAAGCAGCAGUGGGGAAUCUUGCGCAAUGGGCGAAAGCCUGACGCAGCCAUGCCGCGUGAAUGAUGAAGGUCUUAGGAUUGUAAAAUUCUUUCACCGGGGACGAUAAUGACGGUACCCGGAGAAGAAGCCCCGGCUAACUUCGUG